rnacentral:misc_RNA from 1 species
GAUGAAGACGCAGCGAAAUGCGAUAAGUAAUGUGAAUUGCAGAAUUCAGUGAAUCAUCGAAUCUUUGAACGCACAUUGCGCCCGCCAGUAUUCUGGCGGGCAUGCCUGUUCGAGCGUCAUUACAACCCUCAGGCCCCCGGGCCUGGCGUUGGGGAUCGGCGAGGCGCCCCCCGCGGGCACGCGCCGUCCCCCAAAUACAGUGGCGGUCCCGCCGCAGCUUCCAUUGCGUAGUAGCUAACACCUCGCAACUGGAGAGCGGCGCGGCCAUGCCGUAAAACACCCAACUUCUGAAUGUUGACCUCGAAUCAGGUAGGAAUACCCGCUGAACUUAAGCAUAUCAAUAAGCGGAGGA